UUGUGGAGAAGGACGCCGAAGGUGGGGCUGAUGACUGGGGUGAAGUCGUAACAAGGUAGCCGUACCGGAAGGUGCGGCUGGAUCACCUCCUAACAGGGAGACAAUUAAUAGAUUGUGAUGUCUAAGUAAAAUAUCCUUAGGCCGCAAUCCUGUCACCUUAGGUCGAUCGGUACCUCAGAUUUAUGAAUUAAUUUUAUAAUUAAUCCUUUAAUUUCAGUUCCUAAACUUGCCUAGGUCACACCCAACAAGGGUUUCUCCUGGGCCAUUAGCUCAGGUGGUUAGAGCGCACCCCUGAUAAGGGUGAGGUCCCUGGUUCAAGUCCAGGAUGGCCCAUUCGUUGUUGGGGGUAUAGCUCAGUUGGUAGAGCGCCUGCUUUGCAAGCAGGAUGUCAGCGGUUCGAGUCCGCUUACCUCCACUGAUAACUACCCUGAUAACUAACUUUCAGGAGAAAAUUUUGUAAAUUUGACUUGGAUUUGUCUAUUUGAAAAGAACCUAGCUUCUUAUCAUCUUUUUAUAGUUGAUAAAAUGCUGGGCUCACAUGGGAUUUUCCCAUGAGAAUUCAGUAGAACCUUGAAAACUGCAUAGAUUGAAAGAAUAAAGCAUCUCAUGGAUGCAUAAUUCUGUUUUGAUUUUUUAGUUUAAUAACUAAAUUAUCUAAAUUCAGAAUUCAUGUUUAAUUCUUGAGUAAAAGCCGAGCACAAUUGAUUUUGUGAUUGUAUUAAGGUCAAGCUACAA
rnacentral:misc_RNA from 1 species